rnacentral:rRNA from 1 species
UACGUAGGGUGCGAGCGUUAAUCGGAAUUACUGGGCGUAAAGCGUGCGCAGGCGGCUUCGCAAGUCAGACGUGAAAUCCCCGGGCUUAACCUGGGAAUGGCGUUUGAAACUACGGAGCUGGAGUGUGGCAGAGGGAGGUAGAAUUCCACGUGUAGCGGUGAAAUGCGUAGAUAUGCGGAGGAACACCGAUGGCGAAGGCAAUCCCCUGGGCCUGCACUGACGCUCAUGCACGAAAGCGUGGGGAGCAAACAGG